rnacentral:rRNA from 1 species
CCCUAUUAUUAUUAAUAUAAAUAUAAUUUUAAGUAGUAAAUGUUUUGAUCAGGAAACUUAAAGAAUUUGGCGGUGUAUAUUCUAAUUAGAGGAAUAUGUUUUUUAAUUGAUAAUCCACAUUUAUUUUACUUAAAGUUAUUUAUUUUGUAUAUCUCCGUCUCAAAAAAAUUUUUUGAAAUAUUUUUUGGAAUUUUUAGUUUUAAAAAAGUCAGGUCAAGGUGCAGUUUAUAUUUAAGUUAAAAUGUAUUACAAUAAAGUUAUUUUUGAAUUAAAAAUGAAAUAUUUUUAUGAAAUUGGAUUUAUAAGUAAAAUUUUUUUUAUAAUAAUUAUUUGAAUAAUGUAAAUAUAUAUGUACACAUC